rnacentral:rRNA from 1 species
CCUACGGGGAGCAGCAGUGAGGAAUAUUGGUCAAUGGGCGCAAGCCUGAACCAACCAAGUCGCGUGAGGGAUGACGGUCCUAUGGAUUGUAAACCUCUUUUGUCGGGGAGCAAGGCCCGCCACGUGUGGCGGGAAGGAGAGUACCCGAAGAAAAAGCAUCGGCUAACUCCGUGCCAGCAGCCGCGGUAAUACGGAGGAUGCGAGCGUUAUCCGGAUUUAUUGGGUUUAAAGGGUGCGUAGGCGGAAGGUUAAGUCAGCGGUCAAAUGUCGGUGCUCAACACCGGCCUGCCGUUGAAACUGGUCGUCUUGAGUGAGCGAGAAGUAUGCGGAAUGCGUGGUGUAGCGGUGAAAUGCAUAGAUAUCACGCAGAACUCCGAUUGCGAAGGCAGCAUACCGGCGCUCAACUGACGCUGAGGCACGAAAGCGUGGGGAUCGAACAGGAUUAGAUACCCGAGUAGUC